UACGGGGGGGGCAAGCGUUGUUCGGAAUUACUGGGCGUAAAGGGCUCGUAGGUGGCCAACUAAGUCAGACGUGAAAUCCCUCGGCUUAACCGGGGAACUGCGUCUGAUACUGGAUGGCUAGAGUUUGGGAGAGGGAUGCGGAAUUCCAGGUGUAGCGGUGAAAUGCGUAGAUAUCUGGAGGAACACCGGUGGCGAAGGCGGCGUCCUGGACCAACACUGACACUGAUGAGCGAAAGCCAGGGGAGCAAACGGG
rnacentral:rRNA from 1 species